UAACAAUGAUUCCCCUAGUAACGGCGAGUGAACAGGGAAAAGCUCAAAGUUGGAACCUCCUGGUCCUAGAUUAGGCGGAUUGUAAACUAAAGCUCUUGGGUAGUACGGUUGGCCUGAUAAAAAAGUUCUCUGGAAAGAGGCGACAUAGAGGGUGAUAUCCCCGUCUUUGGUCAGAGCUCAAUCAUGCGUUUGCCCUUUAGCGAAGAGUCAGGUUGUUUGGGAAUGCAGCCUAAAAUGGGAGGUAAAUCUCUCCUAAAGCUAAAUAUUGACGAAAGACCGAUAGCGAACAAGUACCGUGAGGGAAAGAUGAAAAGCACUUUGAAAAGAGGGUCAAAAAGUACGUGAAAUUGCUGAAAGGGAACCGUAUGAAAUCAGUCUGAUGUGUUGGUAAUCAAUCUGGAUCUCGAUCCGGAUGCACUUGCCGAUGUAUUAGCCUGCGACAGUUUGAUCUGGAGGAAAAAAGAUGGGAGAAUGUGGCCUUGGCUUCGGUUAAGGUGUUAUAGCUCCUGUCAAAAUACUUUGGAUUGGACUGAGGACUGCAGCGAGCCGCAAGGUAAAGGUCUCGGGCGCUUGUUCUGGUUAUGUAAGAAAUCUCUGCUUCGGGUGGUAUCUUGCCUAAUCGGGACAACACGCUUGUUUCUCUUUUUUCUCGCUUAGGUCGUAGGCAUAAUGAUUUUAUAUGACCCGUCUUGAAACACGGACCAA
rnacentral:rRNA from 1 species